rnacentral:snoRNA from 1 species
UAGGCCACCGGCAGUGUAUGAGUCGUGGAAGAUGAAUAAUAUGUGUCUGGAAGUCUGAGGUCCCA